rnacentral:lncRNA from 1 species
AUGGAGAGACACAGAAGAGAGGAGGAGGGGAAACUGAGAGAGCUGGAGAGACAGAGAGCAGAGAAGGAGGAGGAGAAGAGGAGGAGAGAGAUGGAGAGACAGAGAACAGAGGAGGAGGAGGAGGAGAAGAGAGAGAGGAGAGAGAUGGAGAGACCAAGAGCAGAGGAGGAGGAGGAGAAGAAGAGGAGGAGAGAGAUGGAGAGACCGAGGGAGGAGGAGGAGGAGGAGGAGGAGGAGAAGAGGAGGAGAGAGAUGGAGAGACCGAGAGCAGAGGAGGAGGAGGAGAAGAGGAGGAGAGAGAUGGAGAGACCGAGAGCAGAGGAGGAGGAGGAGAAGAGGAGGAGAGAGAUGGAGAGCAGAGGAGUUGGGUCUGCCGCAGAGGGAGGAGGAGAGGGCGGGGCCAGGAGGAGGAGAGUGGGUGUGGCCAGACAGGAACAGGUGCAGGGAGAGUUAGAGGCGGUGGAACCUGUUGCCGUGGAGAAGUGUGUGAGGGCGGAGCCUGUUGCCAUGGAGAAGGGUGUGAGGGCGGGGCCUGUUGCCAUGGAGAAGGGUGUGAAGGCGGGGCCUGUCCCGGCCCAGAGGAGGCAGAGCGGCGUGAGCCAGCCGGCUGCAGCGGAGGUAUCGGGGGUAACUCCUCCCAGCCCCGCAGACCCCGCCCCCGAGACAGACCCCGCCCCUGAGACAGACUCCGAUCUGGCAGCUGCACUGCAGGCGGCGGAGGAGAACAUCAGACACGACAACAGGAAUUAUGUGGAGGAGAAGGCUUCAGUCAGCAUACUGGAUGACAUCGGCAGCAUGUUCGAUGACCUCGCUGACCAGUUGGAUGCCAUGUUGGACUAAAACUACACUACCCACAAUGCUCAGUUUGACCUCUGACCUCGCUGACCAGUUGGAUGCCAUGUUGGACUAAAACUACACUACCCACAAUGCUCAGUUUGACCUCUGACCUCGCUGACCAGUUGGAUGCCAUGUUAGACUAAAACUACACUACCCACAAUGCUCUCUCAGCCUGACCUCUGACCUCCUGAGCCCAGCACUGAGGAAGCCUGACCUCAUGAUUCCAUCAUCAACAGAUGAAGGCUUCUUACUUCAUCAUCUGACCCCUAAAUCUGACCCUCAACCCCCAGGUGAUGAUCGAUCCGAGGAAGGGGCUGAACUUCCUGUAACCUGAUUGGUUAGUUCCUGUAACCGGACGGAAGCUCGUGUUACCUGAUUGGAGCAGAAGCUCAUGUUACCUGAUUGGACGGAAGCUCAUGUUACCUGAUUGGACGGAAGCUCAUGUUACCUGAUUGGAGAUCCUGAGUAAACUUCCAAAUGUUCUAGAAAGUGAUCAAUCCUGACCUUUGGGUUGGUUGGGAUUCCAGAGCUCUAUCCUGACCUUUGACCUCUGUUGGGUUGCUAUGGCUCUAUCCUGACCUUUGACAUCUGCUGGGUUGCCAUGGCUCUAUCCCAUGCAGUUCUAUCCCCAUCAACAUGUAACAGCAAACAAGUAACAGCAAACAAGUAACAGCAAACCCAAACCUAAACCCAAAACCCAAAUUUAAACCCAAAACCCAGUCUUAAACCCAAAACCCAGUCUUAAAUCCAGUCUUUAACCCAGUCUUAAACCCAAUCUUAAACCCAAAACCCAGUCUUAAACCCAGUCUUAAACCCAGUCUUAAACCCAAAACCCAGUCUUAAACCCAAAACCCAGUCUUAAACCCAGUCUUAAAUGUUUAAGACUGGGUUUAAGAUUGGAUUCUGGGUUUAAGACUGGGUUUUGGGGGAUUGGGUUUUAAUCUCACCUCUUAAAGAAUAAAUCCAACUCUUAGGGGUUAGUCUACCCA